rnacentral:rRNA from 1 species
UGAGUCCGCGUUUCAUUAGCUAGUUGGUUGAGGUAAUGGCUCACCAAGGCGACGAUCAGUAGCUGGUCUGAGAGGAUGAUCAGCCACAUUGGGACUGAGACACGGCCCAAACUCCUACGGGAGGCAGCAGUGGGGAAUCUUGCGCAAUGGGCGAAAGCCUGACGCAGCCAUGCCGCGUGAAUGAUGAAGGUCUUAGGAUUGUAAAAUUCUUUCACCGGGGACGAUAAUGACGGUACCCGGAGAAGAAGCCCCGGCUAACUUCGUGCCAGCAGCCGCGGUAAU